rnacentral:rRNA from 1 species
CGUACUGAGACACGGACCAGACUCCUACGGGAGGCAGCAGUGAGGAAUAUUGGACAAUGGGAGCAAUCCUGAUCCAGCCAUGCCGCGUGCAGGAAGACUGCCCUAUGGGCUGUAAACUGCUUUUAUACAGGAAGAAAAAGGUGUACGUGUACACUGUUGACGGUACUGUAAGAAUAAGGAUCGGCUAACUCCGUGCCAGCAGCCGCGGUAAUACGGAGGAUCCAAGCGUUAUCCGGAAUCAUUGGGUUUAAAGGGUCCGUAGGCGGGACAAUAAGUCAGUGGUGAAAGUCUGCAGCUCAACUGUAGAAUUGCCAUUGAUACUGUUGUUCUUGAGUGCUUGUGAAGUGGUUAGAAUGAGUAGUGUAGCGGUGAAAUGCAUAGAUAUUACUCAGAAUACCGAUUGCGAAGGCAGAUCACUAACAAUUCACUGACGCUGAUGGACGAAAGCGUAGGUAGCGAACAGGAUUAGAUACCCUGGUAGUCUACGCCGUAAACGAUGGUUACUAGCUGUUCGGACCAAUUGAGGUCUGAGUGGCUAAGCGAAAGUGAUAAGUAACCCACCUGGGGAGUACGUUCGCAAGAAUGAAACUCAAAGGAAUUGACGG